GAUGAACGCUGGCGGCGUGCCUAAUACAUGCAAGUCGAGCGAACGGACGAGAAGCUUGUUUCUCUGAUGUUAGCGGCGGACGGGUGAGUAACACGUGGAUAACCUACCUAUAAGACUGGGAUAACUUCGGGAAACCGGAGCUAAUACCGGAUAAUAUUUUGUACCGCAUGGUUCAAAAGUGAAAGACGGUCUUGCUGUCACUUAUAGAUGGAUCCGCGCUGCAUUAGCUAGUUGGUAAGGUAACGGCUUACCAAGGCAACGAUGCAUAGCCGACCUGAGAGGGUGAUCGGCCACACUGGAACUGAGACACGGUCCAGACUCCUACGGGAGGCAGCAGUAGGGAAUCUUCCACAAUGGGCGAAAGCCUGACGCAGCAACACCGCGUGAGUGAUGAAGGCCUUCGGAUCGUAAAGCUCUGUUGUUAGGGAAGAAAAUUUGUGUGAGUAACUGUGCACAUCUUGACGGUACCUAAUCAGAAAGCCACGGCUAACUACGUG
rnacentral:rRNA from 1 species